ensembl:lncRNA
UGUUUAAUGAGCUUGUGUUGAGAAUCUAAAGGCCCUAUGAUGAUUGGCUGCUACACUCCUAGAUUAUAAAUAUUGUCCUGUCACUGGUAACCCAAGUAUCUCAUAUGGAGUGCUAUUAGUGCCAACAGAAAUUUAACUGAAUUAAAUGUUGAUUAAAGGUAUGUUGUCACUCUAUAGUCCCAGAUAGAUCUAGGUGGGUUAGACGUAGUACAAGAGGUUUUGGUCCAGGUCUACAGUAUAUCUCAAUAGGUUUGGUCCAGGUCUACAGUAUAUCUCAAUGGGUUUGGUCCAGGUCUACAGUAUAUCUCAAUGGGUUUGGUCCAGGUCUACAGUAUAUCUCAAUGGGUUUGGUCCAGGUCUACAGUAUAUAUCAAUGGGUUUGGUCCAGGUCUACAGUAUAUAUCCAUGGGUUUGGUCCAGGUCUACAGUAUAUCUCAAUGGGUUUGGUCCAGGUCUACAGUAUAUCUCAAUGGGUUUGGUCCAGGUCUAUAGUAUAUCUCAAUAUGUUUGGUCCAGGUCUAUAGUAUAUCUCAAUGGGUUUGGUCCAGGUCUACAGUAUAUCUCAAUGGGUUUGGUCCAGGUCUACAGUAUAUCUCAAUGGGUUUGGUCCAGGUCUACAGUAUAUCUCAAUGGGUUUGGUCCAGGUCUAUAGUAUAUCUCAAUGGGUUUGGUCCAGGUCUAUAGUAUAUCUCAAUGG